UACCUGGUUGAUUCUGCCAGUAGUCAUAUGCUUGUCUCAAAGAUUAAGCCAUGCAUGUCUAAGUAUAAGCAAGUAUACUGUGAAACUGCGAAUGGCUCAUUAAAUCAGUUAUC
rnacentral:ncRNA from 1 species